rnacentral:rRNA from 1 species
CUGGCUCAGGACGAACGCUGGCGGCGUGCUUAACACAUGCAAGUCGAGCGGAAAGGCCCCUUCGGGGGUACUCGAGCGGCGAACGGGUGAGUAACACGUGAGUAACCUGCCCCUGACUCUGGGAUAAGCCUGGGAAACCGGGUCUAAUACCGGAUACGACCACUCCGGGCAUCCGGUGGUGGUGGAAAGAUUUUUUCGGUCGGGGAUGGGCUCGCGGCCUAUCAGCUUGUUGGUGGGGUGACGGCCUACCAAGGCGACGACGGGUAGCCGGCCUGAGAGGGCGACCGGCCACACUGGGAUUGAGACACGGCCCAGACUCCUACGGGAGGCAGCAGUGGGG